ACGAACGCUGGCGGCGUGCCUAAUACAUGCAAGUUGAGCGAUGAAGAUUGGUGCUUGCACCAAUUUGAAGAGCAGCGAACGGGUGAGUAACGCGUGGGGAAUCUGCCUUUGAGCGGGGGACAACAUUUGGAAACGAAUGCUAAUACCGCAUAACAACUUUAAACAUAAGUUUUAAGUUUGAAAGAUGCAAUUGCAUCACUCAAAGAUGAUCCCGCGUUGUAUUAGCUAGUUGGUGAGGUAAAGGCUCACCAAGGCGAUGAUACAUAGCCGACCUGAGAGGGUGAUCGGCCACAUUGGGACUGAGACACGGCCCAAACUCCUACGGGAGGCAGCAGUAGGGAAUCUUCGGCAAUGGACGAAAGUCUGACCGAGCAACGCCGCGUGAGUGAAGAAGGUUUUCGGAUCGUAAAACUCUGUUGGUAGAGAAGAACGUUGGUGAGAGUGGAAAGCUCAUCAAGUGACGGUAACUACCCAGAAAGGGACGGCUAACUACGU
rnacentral:rRNA from 1 species